AACGAACGCUGGCGGCAUGCCUAACACAUGCAAGUCGAACGAGACCUUCGGGUCUAGUGGCGCACGGGUGCGUAACGCGUGGGAACCUGCCCUUAGGUUCGGAAUAACUCCCCGAAAGGUGUGCUAAUACCGGCUAAUGUCUUCGGACCAAAGAUUUAUCGCCUGUGGAUGUGCCCGCGUUGGAUUAGCUAGUUGGUAGGGUAAAAGCCUACCAAGGCGACGAUACAUAGCUGGUCUGAGAGGAUGAUCAGCCACACUGGGACUGAGACACGGCCCAGACUCCUACGGGAGGCAGCAGUGGGGAAUAUUGGACAAUGGGCGGAAGCCUGAUCCAGCAAUGCCGCGUGAGUGAUGAAGGCCUUAGGGUUGUAAAGCUCUUUUACCCGGGAUGAUAAUGACAGUACCGGGAGAAUAAGCUCCGGCUAACUCCGUG
rnacentral:rRNA from 1 species